rnacentral:rRNA from 1 species
UACGGAGGGAGCUAGCGUUGUUCGGAAUUACUGGGCGUAAAGCGCACGUAGGCGGCGACUCAAGUCAGAGGUGAAAGCCCGGGGCUCAACCCCGGAACUGCCUUUGAAACUAGGUUGCUAGAAUCUUGGAGAGGUCAGUGGAAUUCCGAGUGUAGAGGUGAAAUUCGUAGAUAUUCGGAAGAACACCAGUGGCGAAGGCGACUUACUGGACACAUAUUGACGCUGAGGUGCGAAAGCGUGGGGAGCGAACAGG